rnacentral:lncRNA from 1 species
GCCGGAGGAUUUGACGCACGUGCACAUCUGGACAAAAGGAUUAGGAACUUCGACGGUUGACCUGCCGCACGUGACGACAAUCCCCGCACCGAAACGCAGCGCUUAACUCCACAAGAAGAAGGAGCCAGAAGCAGGACGGCGUGAAGAAGGCCGUUCGGCCCACCCAAAACCGACGCAUUACUUGGUGAUUUAGUUUUAGGCUGUUUUUUAUCGGCCAAAGUUCAACGUUAUUAAACAAGGUUAAACUGAUCUAAUUACGAUUAAACAAUUGGCGGGAAGGAUUAAACAAUUGGAGGGCAGGAUUAAGCAGUUGGAGGGUGAGGUUGUCAAAGCCACCCACUUUGGACUCUUGUAACUGGAAACAUGUACACAAAAAUGGAGACAAAUAAAAACUUGUAUAUUUUUCAAUUAAUAAAAUCACCCGUUGAUGUCUUCAUCACGGUAAUCUACUUUUCUGGAGCAGGAAAGAGUUAUAAAGUCAUUUCAACUUUCUUUUUAUUAUCAUUGUGUCAUUCGCCAACGCCAGUACUAGAGUAUGGUAGUUGAGAUAAUAGCGUCAAGAUGCUAUUGUCUAAUUAUAAACUAUAAAAAAAUUAUGGUGUUCAGAAGUAUAAAAUAUUUUGAGUUUUUAACUCUUAAAUUUUGAUUUUUGUGUUGUUGACUAAAGAUCUAAACGGUUAAAAACUUUGCAAAAUAUCUAAUAUUUUGUAGCAAAAAAUUCUCAUACAUUAUCAAGAAUUCGACUUUUAUACAUAGUAUCGGCAAUGUUGUCAAUCACGUAUGUCAUGUGUUUAACGUUUAUACGUAGCAAUAUGUUAUUUAAUUAAAAUAGAUAAGUGAUUUUUGCACAUUCACUCUCUCAUUUUACAUUAUUGUUUUAUUAAACAUAUAAUUGAUGCUUUUGUAUAGUUGUUUGGGCCAAGUUUAGAGUUGUUCUCAGCCCAGAGGCCGUACUUAGGAGUCGUUGGGGGUCAUCUGGUUUAUGGGCCACGUAGCCAAGGCCGACCGUGUCCUAUUAGGAAUCCAUGGGUGGUUGAAUUCUGAUAUGAGAAGGAGUUUCGACAGGAUAAGGAUGUUGAAGUUUGGGAUUGAAUGCGGCCUGAUAAGGGGGUUGGGUUCAAAGUCCUAGUAGGAGUAGGACUGGCCGAGAUAAGGUUGGAUCGGGGGAAUGAGUUAUAAUCCGAGUAUGGUUAUGAUUCGAUUGGAAGUAAGAUGACUAUUAUAAAUAGAGGGAUGAUGACACCAUUAAGGCUCCUCCAAUUCAACACACAAACUGCCCUGCGCAAACCUUCGCUUUAGCGAAACCUCUCAACAACCUUGAGAUUUUUAUUUUCCUUUUCAACCGACACAU